rnacentral:rRNA from 1 species
AGAAGAGCCGCAGUGAAUAGGCCCAAGCGACUGUUUAUCAAAAACACAGGUCUCUGCUAAACCGUAAGGUGAUGUAUAGGGGCUGACGCCUGCCCGGUGCUGGAAGGUUAAGAGGAGUGGUUAGCUUCUGCGAAGCUACGAAUCGAAGCCCCAGUAAACGGCGGCCGUAACUAUAACGGUCCUAAGGUAGCGAAAUUCCUUGUCGGGUAAGUUCCGACCCGCACGAAAGGCGUAACGAUUUGGGCACUGUCUCAACGAGAGACUCGGUGAAAUCAUAGUACCUGUGAAGAUGCAGGUUACCCGCGACAGGACGGAAAGACCCCGUGGAGCUUUACUGUAGCCUGAUAUUGAAAUUCGGCACAGCUUGUACAGGAUAGGUA